rnacentral:rRNA from 1 species
UACGGGAGGCAGCAGUGGGGAAUCUUGCGCAAUGGGCGAAAGCCUGACGCAGCCAUGCCGCGUGAAUGAUGAAGGUCUUAGGAUUGUAAAAUUCUUUCACCGGGGACGAUAAUGACGGUACCCGGAGAAGAAGCCCCGGCUAACUUCGUGCCAGCAGCCGCGGUAAUACGGAGGGUGCGAGCGUUAAUCGGGAAUUACUGGGCGUAAAGGGCACGCAGGCGGUUAAUUAAGUUGGAUGUGAAAUCCCCGGGCUUAACCUGGGAAUGGCAUUUCAAGACUGGUUAAGCUAGAGUCUUGUAGAGGGGGUAGAAUUCCAUGUGUAGCGGUGAAAUGCGUAGAGAUGUGGAGGAAUACCGGUGGCGAAGGCGGCCCCUGGACAAAGCUGACGCUCAUGUGCGAAAGCGUGGGGAGCAAACGAGGGAUUAGAUACC